rnacentral:rRNA from 1 species
UAUUGCCAGUUGCUACCAGGUAAUGCUGGGCACUCUGGUGAGACUGCCCGGUUAACGGGGAGGAAGGUGGGGACGACGUCAAGUCAUCAUGGCCCUUACGCCUAGGGCUACACACGUACUACAAUGGCGCAUACAAAGGGCAGCGAUACCGCGAGGUGGAGCCAAUCCCAAAAAGUGCGUCCCAGUCCGGAUUGCAGUCUGCAACUCGACUGCAUGAAGUUGGAAUCGCUAGUAAUUCGAGAUCAGCAUGCUCGGGUGAAUGCGUUCCCGGGCCUU